GAGAGGAAUGCAGUUUGAGGCCCACUGCUGAGGAAGAGAGCUGGAAGCCUGCUCACAAGGUGUGCAUGAAAAGUGGAAUUGGAGGGCUUCAAAAAUAACUGCCUUCUUGAGACCCAAGACGUGUGGCCGUUUCUAGCUGGCAAGUUUCCUUUCUGCGUCUAUGGCCCACAGCACAGUGCAUGACCAGGGAAGUGUGGCGAAAGCCAAGAGGCUGAGAAGCUUUGGGAACUGGGGACAUAGCUCCGUGGUAAACAACAACAAAAGACCAGAAUUGUACCCAGGUGACCAGCAGCAAAGCUGGCUCUUGCUUGUCACUCCUCUGUGAGUACAGAGACCUCCACCCAUGGCUGUAGGCUGUGACUGACUCACAUGUAUGUGACAUGCCUCCUGUGACCCACAGCUUCCUCUCGGUGGGUGUUAUCUCUAGAUCUCUACUCUAGAGCCACACAAUUGCAGCUAAACACCUGAGGAGAGUCAUCUACCCAGAGUGACCUGAGGGGGCCUCAACUUACUAUAGUCUCUGAUCGAGGAAUAGCACCUGUUAAAAGGGACCGAAGAAAGGACAAGCCUCUUCCAGUCCAUUCAGGAAAUCAUUCAACAAAUGGUUAUUAAAUAGUCUGUGUGCCCAGCA